rnacentral:rRNA from 1 species
UACGAAGGGGGCUAGCGUUGUUCGGAAUCACUGGGCGUAAAGGGCGCGUAGGCGGCUGUUCCAAGUCGGGGGUGAAAGCCUGUGGCUCAACCACAGAAUGGCCUCGAUACUGGACGGCUCGAGACCGGAAGAGGUGAGUGGAACUGCGAGUGUAGAGGUGAAAUUCGUAGAUAUUCGCAAGAACACCAGUGGCGAAGGCGGCUCACUGGCCCGAUACUGACGCUGAGGUGCGAAAGCGUGGGGAGCAAACAGG